rnacentral:rRNA from 1 species
GUAAGGAAUAUUGGUCAAUGGACGCAAGUCUGAACCAGCCAUGCCGCGUGCAGGAUGAAGGUCCUCUGGAUUGUAAACUGCUUUUCUCUGGGAAGAAAUCCUUGAUUUCUAUCGAGGUUGACGGUACCAGAGGAAUAAGCACCGGCUAACUCCGUGCCAGCAGCCGCGGUAAUACGGAGGGUGCAAGCGUUAUCCGGAUUUACUGGGUUUAAAGGGUGCGUAGGCGGAUUGGAAAGUCAGUGGUGAAAUACUCCGACUUAAUCGGAGAACCGCCGUUGAUACUAUCAAUCUUGAAUGUGGUUGAGGCGGGCGGAAUGUGUCGUGUAGCGGUGAAAUGCUUAGAUAUGACACAGAACACCCAUUGCGAAGGCAGCUCGCUAAACCACCAUUGACGCUGAGGCACGAAAGCGUGGGGAGCAAACAGGAUUAGAAACCCUUGUAGUCC